UCUCUCUCUCUCUCUCUCUCUCUCUCUCUCUCUCUCUCUCUCUCUCUCUCUCUCUCUCUCUCUCUCUCUCUCUCUCUCUCUCUUUGUUAUGCCCAUUAAACACGCCAAAAGUGCUUGUUGACUUUGUCUGGAUGUAUUUUUCACGUACCGUCAUGAACAAAUUAAUUGUGAUAAUCUUAUUUACUAUUGUCAAACUCAUAUGCAGUAAUUAUAAUUAUUAGAAUUUUCAAUAAAUAUUCUUUACCUUAUAAAAAUGGCCAUUCUUUCUUCAACUCCAAUUGCACUCCUGAAGUUAAUGUUUCUUUUCUUUAUGGAAGGUCCAGUCAUGUCCACGAGCUUCUUGAAGUUUUCAUGUGUCAUCCUGAAGUAGUUGCAGAAUUUUUCUGAAAGGUUCACCAGGUCUGGGAAUAAAUGGCUGAAGCUUCCAAAAUCUGGUCUUUUGGCAUUUAGUUCAUGGAUCCAGAUCGUUUUUUUCCCUGCGUCUGCGACGACGAAGCAACAACACAGCAACUACUGCAGCAAGCAAUUGUGCGUCCAUCCUCUUUGAAUUCUGGCGGGGAACUGUGCAGUGAAACCCGCCAGUUAUCGCAUUGGCAUGACGAGGGUUGACGAUGUUGGUGGAAACGGGAUUUCGUCAAGUCAUCACGCGUCAAAUGACUCGCUCUGAUUUGACAAGACUAUUAAACGAGACGCGGACGAGGACGGUUAAAAGUUUUGAGUAUGAGCGUCGGAGCUCGCAGUUCGACUUACGACAUGCGUGGCUUGCGGGGCUUACGACAUCGUAAGCUGUUUUGAGUCUGAAAACAAUUCCUGACAGUACAAAGGAUGGCCACUUCUCUCUGUUCCAUGCUUGAGUUCAGACGCUUCUUCAUGUUUUUUACAGGAUUUUCUAGUAAAUAUACACCAACUUUCAGCUAUCCAUCUUCUGUAGUGCCUCUAGUAUUACUAGUCGGUGUAAUUGACCAUUCCUGCAUCUUACUUCUGGCCAAGAUGUCACCUCAAGCGAAAUUCCAGGAUGCCUAGCUGACGAAGCCUGCUGAGUUCCAGCUGUGGCUUGCAUGUGACGAUGAUGACUCAACGAGAGCCUAAUGUAUGUUUUGCAAGGCCGAGAUGGGCACAGCAAUCUCGACGCUGAGGCAAGACCCACUUUGCAAUCUCCCCUUUGCACUGGCGGAGCCUCUCGAUGAGUUGCAAAGGCGAAUGUUUCCAAACUCCGACAAUGCCCAGUCGUUAAACAUCAAAAGGACCAAGUUCAACGAGGUCAUGAAAGCGUUAAGCAAAAUGGCGAGUGAAGAUUUGGCCUCGAAACUUAGGACAAAUAAAUUUUCUAUUAUCGUUGAUGAGACGACUGAUGUGAAUACCAUGAAAUGAUUAGCAAUCAGGUUUCGAUGUUGGAUAUGAUUGAUAUUUUUCAGAGACGCACUGUGGGGUCUACAGGUGAAAAUCUGUAUGAAUUAAUAAUAGGGUGCUUGCAUUAUCAUACCAUCCCUCUUGAAAAUCUUGCAGCAAACAUUAUGGGCGAGCAAAACUCGCUCUGUAGCAGACUGAGGGCAUCCCAGGUAUAACAAUAUUUAAUUGCACAUCUCACUUUCUCCACCUACAUGAUUUUCCAUUUUUGUUGUUGUA
rnacentral:lncRNA from 1 species